CGGGGCGUUGCGCAGCCCGGUAGCGCGCCUGCUUUGGGAGCAGGAGAGGUCGUAGGUUCAAAUCCUAUCGCCCCGA
rnacentral:tRNA from 1 species